CACAGCUGAGGGUGUAACCGUGGGUAUUGCAGCCUUUGUUUUCACAGUCAACAGUGACACCGUGUGUUUAACGAUAUAUUUAAAAAAAAAAGAAAGAAACUGUAUAUAGCCUACAUUUUGAGAUUUAAUAACAAUGCGCUUAGUUAAAUUUCACUAAUUGAUUUUCUAUACCCGGUUGAUCUACGCAUUAUAUGAAAUCAUAUCAUAUAAAUGGCGGUCGGUAAGGUAAUUUAAUGCGUAGCCUGCCCUCAGGGUUGGGGGUUUGAUACCUGCGGGGUGUGUGUGAAACCACCAACCGGCACUAGGUGAGAAGUUAUGAUAACGGGUAAGUACACUAAAAAAAAUGAGUCGUGGCCCUAGUAAAUAUUAAGAAAUAGUUUUAAGUAAAAUGUAACUAAAAUAUCUGAAAUCAAAAGUGUAUUAAUGUAAAGCACAUACACAUAAUGUAUAUCUAAAUCUAAAUAAACCAGGUAAACUAUAUUUGAAUAGAUAACAUAUAUUACAUGUAUUACACUCCAGCACAAUAGGUGGCGAUAAUGCAACAAUUUUACUGUAAAAUAUUUAUAAUUGCCACGCCUCCACGAACGUCGGGCAUGAUUUUGGCUGAAGCAGACGGGUGUCGAGGAGUUUGAUUAGAGUGAGAGCAUUGAACUCAAGAGGGACUGUGUCAUUAGAAGUCUGUGUCUACCUCAAUGAAGACAGCAACACGUUCAUCAAGGAUUACUUGGAUGUCAAUGGUGAGGAAGUUAAGAGAGAGAUCUCUCAGACCACAGUGGGGAUUUCUGUGAUUCGCAGUGAAGGUGCUGGUGAAGAGGAUAAACCAGAUGAUGUCGGAGUGGUGACUGAGGGUGUGGAGCUGCUUAAACUGAGAAUUAUUUCCUCUGGGUGUGUCGUGCUAUUCACCCACUCAACCUGAGCUAUCCCCAGGAACCUAAAUACACAUUUGAGUUCUUCCAGAAAGUGUUGAUGAACUUGUAUGGCAACAAACUGUCCCCAAAGGUUCAAACGCUUAAAAUCAAGAUGCUUCAGUAAGUGGUCACAGGGAACGGACUGGACAGUUGGGCUGUUAGGAUCUGUUCUAUCUGUCUGUGUUUAUUGUAUUUGCCAAAAAUGUUAGUGUUUUGUUUUCCAGAUUUAUAAUAUAGAAGUUUAUUUGAUUGCUUGUUUUACCAUAUAAAAACAUACAUUAACUUUACUACAUAACUACAUAUAAACACUUAAGUUUUAUGUAAAUAUUCUUAACUCAAUAAUUAACACAUAAGGCUAAUGUAAAACUUCACAAUAACUCUAUGUGCAACAUACAAUGAUUAAGUGUUAAGGUGAAGUUGUAAAUAACCCUUAUGUGUCUAUUUAAUUAUUACACAAAGUUUACAUAGUAAUGUACAUUAAGUUUAUUUAAUUUACUUAAGUAUACUGAACAUGAGAGAAAUAAGACCCUUUAGGUCAAACUUAUGUAAUAAAACUACAUGGAAAAUUGUUAUGUAAUUAAAAUACAGAAAGUCUAAGUUUUUGCCAUAAUUUUUUUUUAGUGUAGGUACUAUAGAGGAAAAUUAUGCUUAAAUAAUACUUGUCGAAUAUGAGCAUUUUUCAUGAUUAUCUCUAGUUUUACUUUCUCACUUCACCUAUUCUUUUCUGAAAUGCACAGUACUUUUAUAAUGCUCUUAAUUUACUUUCAAAGAUAGUGUUAUUUAGCCCAGUUUAAAAAAUCUAGUUCUAAUGUUCAUGAUACGAAAAGUUCAAGUAUGUUAUAUAACCCUAGGAUAUUAAACCCUAUAUGACCCUAUAUAAACCCUAGGAUGUUAUAUAACCCUAGGAUAAAAUACUCCUGGAAUCGGAGGCGAUUCCAUCUGGGGUAGUCCAGAGCUGACAAAGGCCACAGUGUGUUGAUAAUAUGUACACACAGUAUGCCGAGUAUUUAAUGCUCUACUAAUAACCAGCUGAAACAUAAAUGAACAGGCUAAAUGCAGACACAUUUGCUGAUGCUCAGUCACCUAUUAGGCCAAAUUUCUCAAUCAAAUCUCUAACAUUUCCAAGGAAAACUUACUGAAAGGACUUAGAUCUUCACACAGUGCCAUACAAUGUGCAAUAAUGUAGGCUAAUAUUCCCAGGAAUACAAGAUAUUAACUAUGAACCCAAUGACCAAUAUAGGCCUACACGUGAACGACUCCAGUUACAAAACAAUCUAAAGAAGACGGCAGAUGCAUUAAUCUAACAGCAGAUGACCAGCCCUUGUGAUAGAAAUAUUUUAACUUUGUUUUUAAAAUACUGUUAACUUUUCUAAAGCUAAUGUGACAAAAAAUAAAGUCAAUGAAAACUGCA